rnacentral:rRNA from 1 species
UACGUAGGGGGCGAGCGUUGUCCGGAGUUACUGGGCGUAAAGGGCGUGCAGGCGGUGCGGUAAGUUUAGCGUGACAGUCUCCGGCUUAACUGGAGAAGGCCGCUGAAAACUGCUGGACUUGAGGGCCAGAGAGGGACAUAGAAUUCCGGGUGGAGUGGUGAAAUGCGUAGAUAUCCGGAGGAAUACCAAAGGCGAAGGCAGUGUCCUGGCUGGCAACUGACGCUGAGGCGCGAAAGCCAGGGGAGCAAACGGG